UGGGGAAUCUUGGACAAUGGGCGCAAGCCUGAUCCAGCCAUGCCGCGUGGAUGAUGAAGGCCUUAGGGUUGUAAAGCUCUUUCGGCGGGGACGAAACGGUUCGUGACAACACCACGGACUAAUGACGGUACCCGCAUAAGAAGCACCGGCUAACUACGUGCCAGCAGCCGCGGUAAUACGUAGGGUGCAGGCGUUAAUCGGAAUUACUGGGCGUAAAGGGUGCGCAGGCGGUUUGUUAAGACAGGUGUGAAAUCCCCGGGCUUAACCUGGGAAUUGCGCUUGUAACUGGCAGGCUAGAGUGUGGCAGAGGGGGGUGGAAUUCCACGUGUAGCAGUGAAAUGCGUAGAUAUGUGGAGGAACACCGAUGGCGAAGGCAGCCCCCUGGGUUAACACUGACGCUCAUGCACGAAAGCGUGGGGAGCAAACAGGAUUAGAUACCCCCGUAGUCCCUGAGCGGGCUGGCAAGGCGCAU
rnacentral:rRNA from 1 species